ensembl:snRNA U7 U7 small nuclear RNA
AAGCAGUACAGUUCUUUUAGAAUUUGUCUCACAGAUUUUCCGGUCCUUACUGGAAGACUCCU